rnacentral:rRNA from 1 species
AUCAAUAAGCGGAGGAAAAGAAACCAACAGGGAUUGCCUCAGUAACGGCGAGUGAAGCGGCAACAGCUCAAAUUUGAAAUCUGGCCCCCCCGGGUCCGAGUUGUAAUUUGCAGAGGAUGCUUUUGGCGCGGUGCCUUCCGAGUUCCCUGGAACGGGACGCCAUAGAGGGUGAGAGCCCCGUACGGUUGGACACCAAGCCUGUGUAAAGCUCCUUCGACGAGUCGAGUAGUUUGGGAAUGCUGCUCAAAAUGGGAGGUAUAUUUCUUCUAAAGCUAAAUACCGGCCAGAGACCGAUAGCGCACAAGUAGAGUGAUCGAAAGAUGAAAAGCACUUUGAAAAGAGGGUUAAACAGCACGUGAAAUUGUUAAAAGGGAAGCGCUUGUGACCAGACUUGCGCCCGGUGAAUCACCCAGCUCUCGCGGCUGGGGCACUUUGCCGGCUCAGGCCAGCAUCAGCUCGCCGUCGGGGACAAAAGCUUCGGGAACGUAGCUCUCUUCGGGGAGUGUUAUAGCCCGCUGCACAAUACCCUUCGGCGGGCUGAGGUACGCGCUCCGCAAGGAUGCUGGCGUAAUGGUCAUCAGCGACCCGUCUUGAAACACGGACCAAGGAGUCAACCUUAUGUGCG